rnacentral:rRNA from 1 species
UUUGAUCCUGGCUCAGAUUGAACGCUGGCGGCAGGCCUAACACAUGCAAGUCGAGCGGCAGCACGGGAAGCUUGCUUCCUGGUGGCGAGCGGCGGACGGGUGAGUAAUGCAUAGGAAUCUGCCCGGUAGUGGGGGAUAACCUGGGGAAACCCAGGCUAAUACCGCAUACGUCCUACGGGAGAAAGCAGGGGCUCUUCGGACCUUGCGCUAUCGGAUGAGCCUAUGUCGGAUUAGCUGGUUGGUGAGGUAAUGGCUCACCAAGGCGACGACCCGUAGCUGGUCUGAGAGGAUGAUCAGCCACAUCGGGACUGAGACACGGCCCGAACUCCUACGGGAGGCAGCAGUGGGGAAUAUUGGACAAUGGGCGCAAGCCUGAUCCAGCCAUGCCGCGUGUGUGAAGAAGGCCCUCGGGUUGUAAAGCACUUUCAGUGGGGAAGAAAGCCUUCCGGUUAAUACCCGGGAGGAAGGACAUCACCCACAGAAGAAGCACCGGCUAACUCCGUGCCAGCAGCCGCGGUAAUACGGAGGGUGCGAGCGUUAAUCGGAAUUACUGGGCGUAAAGCGCGCGUAGGUGGCUUGAUAAGCCGGUUGUGAAAGCCCCGGGCUCAACCUGGGAACGGCAUCCGGAACUGUCAGGCUAGAGUGCAGGAGAGGAAGGUAGAAUUCCCGGUGUAGCGGUGAAAUGCGUAGAGAUCGGGAGGAAUACCAGUGGCGAAGGCGGCCUUCUGGACUGACACUGACACUGAGGUGCGAAAGCGUGGGUAGCAAACAGGAUUAGAUACCCUGGUAGUCCACGCCGUAAACGAUGUCGACUAGCCGUUGGGUCCUUCGCGGACUUUGUGGCGCAGUUAACGCGAUAAGUCGACCGCCUGGGGAGUACG